rnacentral:piRNA from 1 species
UAAAAAAUGAAUGUCCAAAAA